CAGUCGCCACGGUAAAACGUAGGGUGCGAGCGUUAAUCGGAAUUACUGGGCGUAAAGCGUGCGCAGGCGGUUUUGUAAGACAGAGGUGAAAUCCCCGGGCUCAACCUGGGAACUGCCUUUGUGACUGCAAGGCUAGAGUACGGCAGAGGGGGAUGGAAUUCCGCGUGUAGCAGUGAAAUGCGUAGAUAUGCGGAGGAACACCGAUGGCGAAGGCAAUCCCCUGGGCCUGUACUGACGCUCAUGCACGAAAGCGUGGGGAGCAAACAGGAUUAGAUACCCCCGUAGUCCCUGUCUUAUACAC
rnacentral:rRNA from 1 species